rnacentral:rRNA from 1 species
GAUGAACGCUGGCGGCGUGCCUAAUACAUGCAAGUCGAGCGAACGGACGAGAAGCUUGCUUCUCUGAUGUUAGCGGCGGACGGGUGAGUAACACGUGGAUAACCUACCUAUAAGACUGGGAUAACUUCGGGAAACCGGAGCUAACACCGGAUAAUAUUUUGAACCGCAUGGUUCAUAAGUGAAAGACGGUCUUGCUGUCACUUAUUGAUGGAUCCGCGCUGCAUUAGCUAGUUGGUAAGGUAACGGCUUACCAAGGCAACGAUGCAUAGCCGACCUGAGAGGGUGAUCGGCCACACUGGAACUGAGACACGGUCCAGACUCCUACGGGAGGCAGCAGUAGGGAAUCUUCCGCAAAGGGCGAAAGCCUGACGGAGCAACGCCGCGUGAGUGAUGAAGGUCUUCGGAUCGUAAAACUCUGUUAUUAGGGAAGAACAUAUGUGUAAGUAACUGUGCACAUCUUGACGGUACCUAAUCAGAAAGCCACGGCUAACUACGUG